rnacentral:rRNA from 1 species
AACGAGCGCUGGCGGCAGGCUUAACACAUGCAAGUCGAGCGCCCCGCAAGGGGAGCGGCAGACGGGUGAGUAACGCGUGGGAACGUACCCUUUGCUACGGAAUAGCUCCGGGAAACUGGAAUUAAUACCGUAUGUGCCCUACGGGGGCAAGAUUUAUCGGCAAAGGAUCGGCCCGCGUUGGAUUAGCUAGUUGGUGGGGUAAUGGCCUACCAAGGCGACGAUCCAUAGCUGGUCUGAGAGGAUGAUCAGCCACAUUGGGACUGAGACACGGCCCAAACUCCUACGGGAGGCAGCAGUGGGGAAUAUUGGACAAUGGGCGCAAGCCUGAUCCAGCCAUGCCGCGUGAGUGAUGAAGGCCUUAGGGUUGUAAAGCUCUUUCACCGGAGAAGAUAAUGACGGUAUCCGGAGAAGAAGCCCCGGCUAACUUCGUGCCAGCCGCCGCAGUAACAC